AAGAAAGUGGCAGAGUGGUUAUGUGGUUGACUUGAAAUCAUCUUAUGUGGGUUCAAUUCCCCCCUUUCUUG
rnacentral:tRNA from 1 species